GAUGAACGCUGGCGGCGUGCUUAACACAUGCAAGUCGAACGGAGCCUAGCGAGUGCUUGCACUUGCGAAAGCUUAGUGGCGGACGGGUGAGUAACGCGUGGGUAACCUGCCCUAUACUGGGGGAUAACAGUUGGAAACGACUGCUAAUACCGCAUAAGCCUACGGUGCCGCAUGACACAGUAGGAAAAACUCCGGUGGUAUAGGAUGGACCCGCGUCUGAUUAGCUAGUUGGUGAGGUAACGGCCCACCAAGGCGACGAUCAGUAGCCGGCCUGAGAGGGUGAACGGCCACAUUGGGACUGAGACACGGCCCAAACUCC
rnacentral:rRNA from 1 species